CCAACAUCAGCACUAUCGUGAACUUGCAUAGCGUUCGAUCAUGGUGUUGCUUCUUCACCAUUCCAUCAUUUAGUCUGGGCAACCUCGUCGUCGCCACCCUUUCCCAUUCUCAAUCUCUUCAAUCAUACUCAUCUUAGUGUAAGACGGAGAUGUCAUUAUCCAAAAAGUCCACCCCCAGCUCCCCUCAGGCUAGAAGUUGCCCCUCGCUUGCCGAAUCCUCUCUUUGGGUCAGGUCUCUCCCAUAUCAAAAAAUUUGCAUUUAGAAACCCCCCUGAUAAAGACCAAAACAACUACUAAUUCUCUCAAACUGUCCUACCCACGUAGUCCUUUAAUUCACAAAAAACCGUGAUGGACAUUUGAGGAUUUACGAUGUGAGGUUGAAUUUGAAGGGGAAGAAUUGGGGUCCUGUUACAAAUUAGGGAAAAUUGUAUCUAUUAUAUUCUAGUUUAAAAACUGUUUAAGUCAAUUUUAUUUUAUUUGUAAGAAGUUUCAAUCUUCAAUUUAUUUAAGAGUUUGUUAUUUGGUCUUCGUUUGCUGAAUAAGUUUAGCCCCCUUUUGGCUCCCAUUUUUUGGAAAUGAGAAUGGUGGAAUAGUGUUUUUUUUUAUUUAAAAAAUGAAUAAUUGAAAAAGCAGUAAAAAAUUUUCGAUUUAUGUGUGAUAUUAUUUUAUGGAAGAUUAUGUGAUUGAAAAUAGGAAAGAGAAAAAUGAAAUGUAAUUUAAUGAGGGCCAAACAGUGUUUUAGAAGCACGUUGGUUCUUUCAAUUUCAUUAGUUAAGAAACUUAAAAGGAGAAUUUCUCUAUAUAAAUUGCAUUCUAUACUUGCUGCUAUAUAUAUAUUGUAGCACUUUAAUUUUCAUUUUUCUGGUUCUAGUUUUCAUCAAGAAAUAAAAUACAGAUUGAAGAAUAAGAUCUUUUCUUUCCCGCUCCUUUGUUUCUCUGCUAUUUUCAUUUUUCUGGUUCUAGUUUUCAUCAAGAAAUAAAACACAGAUUGAAGAAUAAGAUCUUUUCUUUCCCCUCCUUUGUUUCUCUGCUAUUUUUAUUGCUUCUUUGGUUUUCAAUAAUCCAUCAUGGUUUGUUAUAUGGUAUCAGACCUUGGUCGCCUAUCAAGUGUUUGAGUUUAUUGCUCAAAGAAAUGAACGAUGGAGGCAGUGCCUGUGUAGACAAGCUUGUUGGUAACGAUUAUAGUUAUUGGAAACUAUGCAUGGAAACGUAUGACAGAAUUUUUGUGGGAACUUAUCUCUGGCAAUGUAAUUCCAGAAGAUAUGCUACAAAAUGUUGAAUUGAGGCAGAAAAUAAAGUGUGGAAAAGCUUUAUUUACUUUGCGAACAUCAAUAAAGAGUACAUCUAGUAUGUUUGCGAUGAGGAGUCGCCAAAGAAAGUGUAGGAGACACUUGAAAGGCUGUUUACUCAAAAGAACACGAAGUGGCUGUAGGUUUUAUCUCUUCGAUACAAGGGUGGACAAAUCAACCUACUAUCAUUGAGUUGGAGAAUCUGCUACGAACUCAAGAAGCACCACUGAAACAAAUGUCCAACAACAGCAACAAGUCUUUCUUUCUCUCUCAAGUUGAGGAUGUUCUUUACACCAGGACCAAAGAAAAAAAGAAUUUUUCCUCUUAGUACUCAGGUGAUGGCAAGCUAUCAAAACUGGGGGGCAAUCCAAGGGAAAUUCAAAAUCUCGUUACAAGUAUGGAGUUGGGAGAUCGCCAAUGUGAAAAUCAAGCCAUAUUAAAGAAAAUUGAUGUGUUGAUCUCACAAAAGCAGAAGCUAAUGUUCCGCAUGAAGCUAGUGAAUUUCAAAAGCUAAAAUGGGAGCAAUGCUUAUCCAUUGAGGUUAUCGAUCAACAGGCUAGCAUGAUUUCUAAAGUGCACCAAACUAAUAUAGAUAUUGUUACUAAUAUUUCCAUAGACUACAACAAGGAUUGGAUAAUUGAUUAUGGCUGCUUUCAUCAUGCAACUGGAAAAUGCUUCGUAACUUUUUGAUGUUCAUCCGCAUUGUAGAAAAAGUGUCAUUGUGACAGUUGAUAAUUCAUUACAUUGUGUCGUCAAAGAAGGGCAUCUCAAUGUCAGCAUUGAUAUUUUAAAUGCUGAUGAUAUUUCUUAAAAAUGUUUGUUUAAAGAAGAAUCUUGGUUUGGUCUCUUACUUAGUUGAUUCUGGGAGGUAUUUUUAUUUUUUAGUCCAAAUGAUGUACAAAUUCUUUCAAAAGUAAAAGAUAUUGCUGUUG
rnacentral:lncRNA from 1 species